UUGCCCAUUUCAUAAGCGGAGGAAAAGAAACCAACCGGGAUUGCCUUAGUAACGGCGAGUGAAGCGGCAAAAGCUCAAAUUUGAAAUCUGGUACCUUCGGUGCCCGAGUUGUAAUUUGGAGAGGGCAACUUUGGGGCCGUUCCUUGUCUAUGUUCCUUGGAACAGGACGUCAUAGAGGGUGAGAAUCCCGUGUGGCGAGGAGUGCGGUUCUUUGUAAAGUGCCUUCGAAGAGUCGAGUUGUUUGGGAAUGCAGCUCUAAGUGGGUGGUAAAUUCCAUCUAAAGCUAAAUAUUGGCGAGAGACCGAUAGCGAACAAGUACAGUGAUGGAAAGAUGAAAAGAACUUUGAAAAGAGAGUGAAAAAGUACGUGAAAUUGUUGAAAGGGAAGGGCAUUUGAUCAGACAUGGUGUUUUGUGCCCUCUGCUCCUUGUGGGUAGGGGAAUCUCGCAUUUCACUGGGCCAGCAUCAGUUUUGGUGGCAGGAUAAAUCCAUAGGAAUGUAGCUUGCCUCGGUAAGUAUUAUAGCCUGUGGGAAUACUGCCAGCUGGGACUGAGGACUGCGACGUAAGUCAAGGAUGCUGGCAUAAUGGUUAUAUGCCGCCCGUCUUGAACCCGGGGACCA
rnacentral:rRNA from 1 species